rnacentral:rRNA from 1 species
AUGCGUGUGGACACGCACUGGACGGCCAAGCGCGCCGAGAAGAUGACGGAGCGCGACUGGCGGAUCCUGCGCGAGGACUUCGGCAUCUCCUACAGGGGCUCCCGCGUGCCCCGGCCCAUGCGGAGCUGGGCGGAGAGCGGGCUCGGGGCUGACUUGCUCCGCAACGUCGACAGGGCCGGUUACCGGAAGCCGACGCCGAUCCAGAUGGCCGCCGUGCCGCUCGGCCUCCAGCGGCGCGACGUCAUCGGCGUAGCCCAGACCGGCUCCGGCAAGACAGACGCCUUCGUGCUCCCCAUGCUGGCCUACAUCUCCCGCAUGCCGCCGCCGACCAGCUACGGCGAGGCGGACGAGGGCCCGUACGCGCUCGUCCUGGCGCCGACCCGGGAGCUCGCGCAGCAGAUUGAGAGGGAGACGGUGAAGCUUGCUGCGUGCCUAGGCAUCAGGGUGGUGUCCAUUGUCGGUGGCAAGUCGGACGGCCAGUCCACGAUCCAGAAGCAGGCCAGCAUGCUCGAGCGGGGGUGCGAGGUGAUCGUGGCGACGCCCGGCCGGCUCCUCGACUGCCUGGAGAGCAGGUACGCCGUGCUCAACAGGUGCAGCUACGUGGUGCUCGACGAGGUCGACAGGAUGAUCGACAUGGGAUUCGAGCCGCAGGUCGUCGGCGUGCUCGACGCAAUGCCGUCGAGCCACCUGAAGCCGGAGAACGCGGACGAGGAGCUGGACGAGGCGAGGACCUACAGAACGACCCACAUGUUCAGCGCCACCAUGCCGCCGGCCGUGGAGCGGCUCGCCAGGAAGUACCUGCGGAACCCGGUGGUCGUCACCGUCGGCUCCGCCGGCAAGGCCGCGGACCUCGUCACCCAGAGCGUGGUCAUGGUGAAGGUCCAGGAGAAGAUGCCACGGCUCAAGAGGAUCCUCGCCGACCUCGGGAAGGACAGGACGGCCAUCGUGUUCUGCAACACCAAGAACGCCGUGGAGAAGCUCGCCCAUGACGUGGAAAACGCGGGGUUGUGCCGGGUCACGGCGAUGCACGGAGGGAAGUCGCAGGACGAGAGGAAGGCCAGCCUCGACGGGUUCAGGAACGGCAGGUUCGACGUCCUCGUGGCCACCGACCUCGCCGCCCGCGGCAUCGACGUCCCGGAGGUCGCUCACGUGAUCAACUACGAGAUGCCUAGCUCGAUUUAUCUGUACACGCAUCGUAUCGGGAGGACGGGGCGCGCGGGGAAGAAGGGGCUCUCGACAUCGUUUUUGACCCUGGAGAACACUGACAUUUUCUUCGAUCUUAAGCAGAUGCUUGCGCAGAGCAAUAGUCCCGUGCCGCCGGAGCUCGCCAGGCACGAGGCGUCCCCGUGCCAUCAAAUUUUGUUCGCUCAAUGA